rnacentral:tRNA from 1 species
CAGUAAGCCGGGCUCCGUCGGUAGGGCAGAGGAUUGAACAUCCUCGUGCCACCGGUUCGAGCCUGGUUCCUAGCG